rnacentral:rRNA from 1 species
CCUACGGGGGACAGCAGUGGGGGAUAUUGCACAAUGGGGGAAACCCUGAUGCAGCGACGCCGCGUGGGUGAAGAAGCGCCUCGGCGCGUAAAGCCCUGUCAGCAGGGAAGAAAAUGACGGUACCUGAAGAAGAAGCUCCGGCUAACUACGUGCCAGCAGCCGCGGUAAUACGUAGGGGGCUAGCGUUAUCCGGAUUUACUGGGCGUAAGGGGUGCGUAGGUGGUUUCUUAAGUCAGAGGUGAAAGGCUACGGCUAAACCGUAGUAAGCCGUUGAAACUGGGGAACUUGAGUGCAGGAGAGGAGAGUGGAAUUCAUGGUGUAGCGGUGAAAUGCGUAGAUAUUAGGAGGAACACCAGUUGCGAAGGCGACUCUCUGGAGUGUAACUGACGCUGAGGCACGAAAGCGUGGGGAGCAAACAGGAUUAGAUACCCGAGUAGUC